CGUUGAAACAUCAGUUCCCGUACGAUCAAAGAAGUUAAGCAACAUCGAGCCUGGACAAUAUUUAGAUGGAUGACUGCGUGGGAAUGUCAGGUGCUGUAA